rnacentral:rRNA from 1 species
UACAGAGGGGGCAAGCGUUGUUCGGAAUUACUGGGCGUAAAGGGCGCGUAGGCGGCCCGCUAAGUCGAACGUGAAAUCCCCAGGCUUAACCUGGGAACUGCGUCCGAUACUGGCAGGCUUGAAUCCGGGAGAGGGAUGUGGAAUUCCAGGUGUAGCGGUGAAAUGCGUAGAUAUCUGGAGGAACACCGGCGGCGAAGGCGGCAUCCUGGACCGGCAUUGACGCUGAGGCGCGAAAGCUAGGGGAGCAAACGGG